GCCCCCGUAGCUCAGAUGGAUAGAGCACAGGUUUCCUAAACCUGGUGUCGCCUGUUCGACUCAGGCCGGGGGCGCCA
rnacentral:tRNA from 1 species